UUUACUGGGAACACAGAAGUUCUUGGGCUCAAGCCACUCUGUGGCCCUUUCCACUGCCAAGUGGGCAGAGCACAGAAAGGCUGCUGGAGCAAUGCUGGAAUUCCAAGUUGGUGGAGGAUAGAAUAACACAAUACAGACUGAUCUUCGGCGGAAAAGAGUGAGCACACCCGACUUCUAGUACAGGAACAACUGCAACUCAGAUAUAAAGCACCUAAGCCCUGCUGAUUAUACUUCCUGAGCCUAGAUCACUCGUUAUACAGAUGUGUUCUCCUCUCCUGAUUGUCUAAUUAAUACUGUCAUUUAAAUAAAUUAAAAGAGCA
rnacentral:lncRNA from 1 species